rnacentral:rRNA from 1 species
AACGCGAAGAACCUUACCAGGGCUUGACAUGGGGAGGCUGUGUCCAGAGAUGGGCAUUUCCCGCAAGGGACCUCCCGCACAGGUGCUGCAUGGCUGUCGUCAGCUCGUGUCGUGAGAUGUUGGGUUAAGUCCCGCAACGAGCGCAACCCUCGCCUUUAGUUGCCAGCACGUUUGGGUGGGCACUCUAAAGGAACUGCCGGUGACAAGCCGGAGGAAGGUGGGGAUGACGUCAAGUCCUCAUGGCCCUUAUGUCCUGGGCUACACACGUGCUACAAUGGCGGUGACAGUGGGAAGCUAGGUCGCGAGACCAUGCUGAUCUCUAAAAGCCGUCUCAGUUCAGAUUGCACUCUGCAACUCGAGUGCAUGAAGGUGGAAUCGCUAGUAAUCGUGGAUCAGCAUGCCACGGUGAAUACGUUCCCGGGCCUUGUACACACCGAUAGC